rnacentral:rRNA from 1 species
UACGUAGGGUGCGAGCGUUAAUCGGAAUUACUGGGCGUAAAGCGUGCGCAGGCGGUUUUGUAAGCCAGAUGUGAAAUCCCCGGGCUCAACCUGGGAACUGCAUUUGUGACUGCAUGGCUAGAGUGCGGCAGAAGGGGAUGGAAUUCCGCGUGUAGCAGUGAAAUGCGUAGAUAUGCGGAGGAACACCGAUGGCGAAGGCAAUCCCCUGGGCCUGCACUGACGCUCAUGCACGAAAGCGUGGGGAGCAAACAGG